rnacentral:tRNA from 1 species
GGCGAGGUAGCUCAGCUGGUUAGAGCGUCGGAUUCAUAACCCGGAGGCCUCGGGUUCAAGUCCCGAUCUCGCUACAA